rnacentral:rRNA from 1 species
GAUGAACGCUGGCGGCGUGCCUAAUACAUGCAAGUCGAGCGAACAGACGAGGAGCUUGCUCCUCUGACGUUAGCGGCGGACGGGUGAGUAACACGUGGAUAACCUACCUAUAAGACUGGGAUAACUUCGGGAAACCGGAGCUAAUACCGGAUAAUAUAUUGAACCGCAUGGUUCAAUAGUGAAAGACGGUUUUGCUGUCACUUAUAGAUGGAUCCGCGCCGCAUUAGCUAGUUGGUAAGGUAACGGCUUACCAAGGCAACGAUGCGUAGCCGCCCUGAGAGGGUGAUCGGCCACACUGGAACUGAGACACGGCCCAGACUCCUACGGGAGGCAGCAGUAGGGAAUCUUCUGCAAUGGGCGAAAGCCUGACGGAGCAACGCCGCGUGAGUGAUGAAGGUCUUCGGAUCGUAAAACUCUGUUAUUAGGGAAGAACAAAUGUGUAAGUAACUAUGCACGUCUUGACGGUACCUAAUCAGAAAGCCACGGCUAACUACGUG